AGAAGCAAGGCAUGCGCCAAGACUGCCCUCGCGAGGCAUCCCUAGCCUCUCUCACAAGCCCAGACCACACAUUAGGUUCCAUGGCACAAACCCAACUCCCAGAAGGAGGACUUGUGUAGAUACAGAGUUUUAUAGAGGCGUCUCAAGCUGUUUCUCGUCAACAGUUUUUUGUUUGUUUGUUUGUUUGUUUUUAGUCUUAAAUAAUUUAUGAUAGCAACAAUUUUUUUUAACAAUUAGCUUAUAAUGAGGUAGAGUCAGCCGCAGCCAGGCUGCUGUCAAUUCUUCUUAAAUAGAUUAUUCAGUAGUUUCUUUUUAUACAGUUUCUCGGUUAUAAUUGUUAUUUCUUAUAACAUUUAGCACAAAAGGUCAGGUAUAGUUAGCAAUUUGGGUAAGAGGUAGAAGCGGCUUGAGCCAGGCUGCUGUAAAAUCUUCGACGGUUUCUCGGCGAUAGUAUUUCUCAGUCUUAAUCAAGUUCAGAACAACAGAGCUUGCUUAACAGUUUGGGUAGAGUGAGGCAGAGCCUGCUUUGGUCCCUGGGCUGUCAUCAUUUAGUCUAGAGGUGGAGCUCUGCUGCACUGGCUGCCCCAUGGCUAGCCAUGUGUCUAAGGCUGUUGGCAAACUCCAGAAGAAAACGAUUUAAUUAUAUCGUUUGAAAGCCUGAAAUCAAGCCUUGCUGCCCAAAAUAAACCGGCGAAGUCGCACAACUUCACCCCCUAUGUAUCAGACAGCGAAUUCGGGAACCAGCCGCACCUGAGGCUGACUGAUUGAGCAAACAGCUUGCCUUCUGAAAGACAACCUGCACCUGCUAGGCUAAGCAAUGAAAGGACUUGGCUUUCAAAUGGCAACUGCAGGCAAAAACCGAGUUUAAACAGCAACUGUGUCAAAUCUCUGUGAAGACCGGGUUUCCGAUUUAGGAGCCUGAGCUGCAGUAGAAACUGUCAAUCUCCUGAUGAAACAGUCACCUGCAGCUUGUUGUAGGUUCUGAGGAGAUCUAAAACAAUGCAGACACACAAGAGUUCACUUAAAGUAAGGUUUUUAUUGAAUUGGUAGUGAGGGUGACCAGUCAGGGACCAUAGUACAGACUCGGGAGCUGACUGAAGGUCAGAAUGCUUACUCAGGAGCAGGAAAAGCACAAACGUAUGUGCCAACCCACACAAGAUACUAGUUUGGCAAUAUAACUAAACAGAUAUAUUUGUUCUUUGUGGAUAGAAACAGAAAGAAUGUCUUGGGGAACUAAAGUUGAAUAACAGGCUGGUUUUAGUACCUAGGAGGAAGUUCACCCCUAGUGGAAAGUCCCACUCCCCAGAGUCUGGAAAGGUCCACCUCCCCUGGGGUCUGUGACUUUGAAUGUUGUUUUACCUCCCACUUAAAUGGAGUCUGGAAACAAGAUGGCAGUACUUAGGGCAAUUUCCUUUUGCUUAAUCCCAACAUAGUGGAUUGUAUUAUAUGCUUCAUUUGAUUAUUCCACUUCUUUAUCUCCUUGCUUUCAUGUUGUAACUGUGAGACACUAUGUCAGUUUAUUUCCCUGUUUCAAAUGAUCUCAUCAUCACAUUUCAUUUCAUCAUGUAAACUAUGACUGAAAAUCAGCCAGAAGUCCUUUCAACUGCUAGUGUAACCUGAGCUUUAAGGGGAAAGUUCCAGUUUCCAGCAGACUCACAGGCUCAUCUCAGUCACUUAGACAACAUGCCAAUGAAGGAGGCAGGGGAUUGGCCCUGGGCAAAGCCAUGAGUUCUCAUCAGUGUGGCCAUACUGUUCUGAAAUUCAUGACCCGAUGGAUUGAAGACAAUGACUGAUGUCUCAUCCUGUCUCUGCUCCUAUAUGAAGCUAAACAGGUAACCCAAAAUAAAAUAAAUAAAUGAAAUAAAUAAAAGAGCAUUAUGAGAAGGGGAGACUGAAGAGAGGUUAGGAGGGUUUGCUGAUUGUCGGGGUCCAUAAAGAUGACUCCACUGCUGAUUAAAGGCCAGAGAGUUCAAAACUGCCCUUUGUAAGUCAUAAGACACAAAGGCCAAAGGUGUGGCUACAGUAGGAUGGUUGAUCUUGGCCUUGGGUGUCUUAUCUAAAUAACAACAGACUAGUUCUGAGGUGUGUUUUAUUCUAAACCAUCAAGGCCAGAAAUAGCAUAUAAGGUGUGGUUACCAAAUCCUUGGAGAUUUGGGGAAGAGAAGUCUGCUUGCUCCUUAUACUUCAUUCCAUGUUCCUCUUUUAUUUAAGAGUUAUUUAAGAGUGGUGAAAAAUAAACUCAUAGCAUUCAGUAAUGACUGAAUUGCCCUCCUGAUUUUA